UGAGAACUUGACAGGAAUAUAAAUGAACCAGACAAGUAUGCAUCUGGAAGAAGAAAUGUUAAUGUUAAUAGAUAUUUGCACUUUGCAAGCUAAUGGAUCAGCUCCAUGGUUUAUUGGUCACAACAACACUGUAAACAAUUGUACUGUAGAGUUCAUGAAAAACACUUGGUUCCAGAGUAUGUUCCUUACCAACAUGUUCUGUAUUAUAGCAAUAGGAGGCAUUGGAAAUCUGUUGCUGAUUGUAUCUGUGAUUUAUGUAUUUUUUAGAUAUCCUGCCACCAGAUGUAAAUAUCCUUGGUUGAAGAACCCUUUAACUAUUCUUAUCCUUCACCUCUCCUUCUGUGAUUUCCUCUACUGUAUCUUCGGUCUACCAUUUCUCAUGCUACCUACAAUAUACGGCUACUUUCCUCUCUCUAAAAGUGUGUGUCAUAAUACAGCUCUGUUCAGAAAUUUGAACGCCUUCGCUGAAUUCUCAACCAUUGCAGUAAUUGCAUUACUCAGGUUAAAAGGAUUGGUAACAGAAUGGAGAACAUCCUCUCGCCAAAGAGAUUGUUUACUGGCCCCCUGUAAAAUGGUUUUCUUCUGCUGUUUUACAUGGUUUUUAGCCUUCAUCCUCCUCUCCCCCACCAUAUUUGAAACAAAAUUUGAUUUCGGACAAUUUGGAUACAAUGAUAUUGGAAUCUGUAAUGUUGCUCCUGGAGCUUCCUCCGUGGAACAUUCUCUGACAGGAUUCACGUUCUCUGUAGGAUUCCUAGUUCCCUGUGUUUUAAUAAAUAUCUCCUAUAUAACCAUCUUCUGUCUCCUCAAACAUAGAUCAAAUCAAACUACCAUUCUAGACAGGCAGAGAAUCGUUAUGGAUAAAGUCUCCAAAUUGUUAUUCAUCAUAUGUAUUAGCUAUGUUCUAUUCUGUGGACAACUUGCACCAAUAAAAUGGGCAGAUAGAAUUAUGAAGGGACCUGAAAUGGCUUACACCAAAGCUGCUGUGACCCUAGGCUCUUACUCUUGGUAUUGGUGGAACUACACAAUACAUUUUCUAGAAUAAACAACAAACACAUGACUGAACCCUGAUUGGAUCAGGCGCUAAUGGACUCGGCAUACAGGUCUGAUUGCUGAAAGAAUCUUUCCCUGCAUUCCCUUACUGGCCUAGUCUGACUUGCUUCCUCACUUCCUGGUCUAAAUCAGUAAAUUGGAUGUCCAGAAGAUCUACUCCAUAUUUCUGAAAGAUCUAUUCUAUGGACUAUUUUUCUGGUUGCGGCCAAGGGGUCAGCAUACC
rnacentral:misc_RNA from 1 species